UGCUCCUCUUGAAGGUGUAGAUUUUCUCCAAAUCAUAUAAAAGCAGCUCCACAUUGCCAUUGUAGCUCAGAGGAAAAUACCGAACUCAUCAUGAAGUAUUUUGCAAUUUUAGUUGGCCUAAUGGCCGUUGUGAUAUUCUCAAGUCCCGCCGCUGCCGAACCGAAAUCCUAUAGGAAAGUUGGUCCCGGUGGCUAAGUUUUCCCGAUAACUCGAAUGGCUAUUUGAAUGAUUUCCAAAUAAAUGUUGCAAAUAUCAGAAAUAA